ensembl:lncRNA
GAACUAACUGCUCAUGAAGGUAUCAGCAUGUGCAAGGAGAGAUUUCUAGUAGACACCUAGAGGGAAAACAGAAGCUCAAGAGGAGAAAGAACAGAGCCAAAGUUGUGGUUUGGAGAUAUCUGAAUGGAGUGGAUGAGUUUUCUGGACUUCUGGGUUGGUGGGCACAUGGAGGUGCCUGGAGAGUGGCUCGUCCAGAGGAGCAUGGAAGCUCUGGGCCCCUUCCUACAUACUAUGUCCUACGCAUCUCUUCCAUCUGGAUGUUCAUCUAUAUCCUUUAUCAUAUCCUUUUGUAAUAAACCAGUGUGUGUAUAUGUAUAUGGUCUUAUAAAAGCAAUGAAGGAAAGUAGAAUCUAAACAUCUCACCUUGUUGUUUAUCUUAUUGACCUUAGGUAAGGCUCAAAUGUAAUUAAAUAGGCAAGGGCUUGUGUCUGGGCCAGCACUUAGGCAGUUUUAAGCAGAAAAAUAAGAUAAACCAGAAUUAGAUUAUGAAACUGAAAGUUAAAUCAAUGGUUUAGAUAAGGUAGGGUGCAGAAACCAUACAGCAGCAGUGUGGUGACUUUGGAGCCCAUCCACUUUGUCUCAGGAUUUAGCUUCUUGAGACUUGUGGUUUUGUUUUGACUUUUUUUUUUUGGUCUUUUUUUGGAAAGGGGUUAGAGAUCAGGAAAACGGAAAUUUUUUUGCUACUGGUUUUUUCACUUAAAAAUGUUUUCACAGACAAAUUUAUGUAAUAGGCAGUUAUUCAACAAAGAGUCUUAUAAAUGUGUGGAACAUUUUGUAAUUUGAAUAAUCUCUAAGAUGAAAAACUGUAAACCUAACCAACUUUGUAUAAUAUAAAGAGGAAGUGGCAAAAACCUCAGAUUCAAUUUUGACUUUGGAGUAAGAAGGUCUUUAACUGAUUCUAGUUAAAACCUGGGUUGAACUUUGAGUAAAUAGCUAGUUCAAAAAAAAAAAAGGUUAUCUAUCAUAUUCUUAGCACAACAUUUAAGCACAGACCUCAGAAGCAUUCUUCCAGUAGAGUAUGUAUUUCAGGAGUUUCACUCCCCUUCCCUCCUUGAAGGGCAGGCACUCUAUCUGUGUUGACUUCCGUAGUGUCCUCAGUACCUGGAACAGCGCUUGGCACAUAGGAGACACUUGAUAAAUAUUUGUUGACGUAGUAACUCUUGGAAUGCUAGCUAAAUGCAUUUAUGAAGUUUCUGUAUAUAGAGAACUUAGAACGGAAACACCUGCUCUU